rnacentral:rRNA from 1 species
AUAGGGUGCGAGCGUUAAUCGGAAUUACUGGGCGUAAAGCGCACGUAGGCGGCUUGGCAUGUCGGGUGUGAAAUCCCCGGGCUCAACCUGGGAACUGCAUCCGAAACUGCUUUGCUAGAGUAUGGGAGAGGGAAGUGGAAUUUCCGGUGUAGCGGUGAAAUGCGUAGAUAUCGGAAGGAACAUCAGUGGCGAAGGCGACUUCCUGGACCAAUACUGACGCUCAGGUGCGAAAGCGUGGGGAGCAAACAGGAUUAGAUACCCUGGUAGUCCACGCCCUAAACGAUGAGAACUAGAUGUCGGGAGGGUUUGCCUUCCGGUGUCGUAGCUAACGCGUUAAGUUCUCCGCCUGGGAAGUACGGCCGCAAGGUUG